rnacentral:piRNA from 1 species
UUCUGAUCACAUACUAAUUUC